UGGCGGCGUGCUUACACAUGCAAGUCGAGCGAUGAAACUACUUCGGUAGUGAAUUAGCGGCGAACGGGUGAGGAACACGUGAGGAAUCUGCCUUCAACACUGGGAUAACUCCGGGAAACCGGGGCUAAUACCGGAUACGAGCCUUGAUCGCAUGAUCGAGGCUGGAAAGUUUUUCGGUUGAAGAUGACCUCGCGGCCUAUCAGCUUGUUGGUGAGGUAAUGGCUCACCAAGGCGACGACGGGUAGCCGGCCUGAGAGGGCGACCGGCCACACUGGGACUGAGACACGGCCCAGACUCCUACGGGAGGCAGCAGUGGGGAAUAUUGGGCAAUGGAGGAAACUCUGACCCAGCGACGCCGCGUGCGGGAUGAAGGCCUUCGGGUUGUAAACCGCUUUCAGUAGGGAAGAAGCGAAAGUGACGGUACCUACAGAAGAAGCACCGGCUAACUAUGUGCCAGCAGCCGCGGUAAUACAUAGGGUGCAAGCGUUGUCCGGAAUUAUUGGGCGUAAGAGCUCGUAGGUGGUUUGAUACGUCGGGUGUGAAAUUCAGGGGCUCACCCCUGACCUGCAUUCGAUACGGUCAAGCUAGAGUUGGUAGGGGAGACUGGAAUUCCUGGUGUAGCGGUGGAAUGCGCAGAUAUCAGGAGGAACACCGAUGGCGAAGGCAGGUCUCUGGGCCAUACUGA
rnacentral:rRNA from 1 species